AAGAGGUCACACCCGUUCCCAUGCCGAACACGGAAGUUAAGCUCUUCAGCGCCGAUGGUAGUCGGGGGUUUCCCCCUGUGAGAGUAGGACGCCGCCAAGC
rnacentral:rRNA from 3 species